rnacentral:ncRNA from 1 species
UGUCAUCCCAGUGCCCAGACACUGGGAUCCAGAAAAGUUUGCUUGUAAGCAAGCAAACUAGCACAGAAAGUGGUUACAACAUUUUCGAUGAGAUUAUAUGGAAAACUGGAUUCCAGUGUCAAGCACUGGAAUGACACC